UACGUAGGGUGCAAGCGUUGUCCGGAAUUAUUGGGCGUAAAGAGCUCGUAGGCGGUUUGUCGCGUCUGCUGUGAAAACGCGAGGCUCAACCUCGCGCCUGCAGUGGGUACGGGCAGACUAGAGUGCGGUAGGGGAGAUUGGAAUUCCUGGUGUAGCGGUGGAAUGCGCAGAUAUCAGGAGGAACACCGGAUGGCGAAGGCAGAUCUCUGGGCCGUAACUGACGCUGAGGAGCGAAAGCGUGGGAGCGAACAGG
rnacentral:rRNA from 1 species